AUGAAGAUUUUUGAGUUUGUUAGAGAUAUUGAGUCUUUUACCAUUUUUUCAAUUUCUUGUCGAAUUUUGUUCUUUGUACCAAUGACCGUAGCAUCAGCGGAGCAUAGCUUUUCAAAGCUGAAAUUGCUAAAGAACUAUUUGAGGUCAAUAAUGUCACAAGAAAGAUUAAAUGGUCUUGCUACUUUAUGUAUUGAUAAAUAUAAGUUGGAUGAAAUAAAUGUUGAUGCAAUCGAUGACUUUGCUUCUAGAAGUGUCAGAUGA
rnacentral:rRNA from 1 species